GACGAACGCUGGCGGCGUGCUUAACACAUGCAAGUCGGGCGGAAAGGCCUUUCGGGGUACUCGAGCGGCGAACGGGUGAGUAACACGUGAGUAAUCUGCCCUGUGCUCUGGGAUAGCCACCGGAAACGGUGAUUAAUACCGGAUAUGACCAGCCUACGCAUGUGGUGUUGGUGGAAAGUUUUUUCGGCGCAGGAUGUGCUCGCGGCCUAUCAGCUUGUUGGUGAGGUAAUGGCUCACCAAGGCUUUGACGGGUAGCCGGCCUGAGAGGGUGACCGGUCACACUGGGACUGAGACACGGCCCAGACUCCUACGGGAGGCAGCAGUGGGGAAUAUUGGACAAUGGGCGGAAGCCUGAUCCAGCAACGCCGCGUGAGGGAUGACGGCCUUCGGGUUGUAAACCUCUCUCAGUACCGACGAAGCGCAAGUGACGGUAGGUACAGAAGAAGGACCGGCCAACUACGUGCCAGCAGCGCCGUAACAC
rnacentral:rRNA from 1 species